UACGGGGGGGGCUAGCGUUGCUCGGAAUCACUGGGCGUAAAGCGCACGUAGGCGGAUUCUUAAGUCGGUGGUGAAAGCCUGGAGCUCAACUCCAGAACUGCCUUCGAUACUGAGAGUCUUGAGUCCGGGAGAGGUGAGUGGAACUGCGAGUGUAGAGGUGAAAUUCGUAGAUAUUCGCAAGAACACCAGUGGCGAAGGCGGCUCACUGGCCCGGUACUGACGCUGAGGUGCGAAAGCGUGGGGAGCAAACAGG
rnacentral:rRNA from 1 species